GGGAUGCUAAUACUGCAUCCUCCGUCCGGGGGAAAGCAGCGGAUCACUUGUGGCCUUGCGUUAAUAGAUGAGCCUAAGUUGGAUUAAGUAAUUGGUGGGGUAAAGGCCUCCCAAGGCGACGAUUCGUAACGGGUUUGAGAGGAAGAUCCACCCCCCUGGGAAUGGGACCCGGCCCAGACUCCUUCGGGAGGCAGCAGUGGGGAAUAUUGGACAAUGGGGGGAACCCUGAUCCAACCAGGGCGCGUGUGUGAAGAA
rnacentral:rRNA from 1 species